UACUUGAAGAUUUUGCAUUUUUUUUCUUCUUCUUUUUCCAGCUUUAUUAUGUGUGUCAUACUCGUAUCAUAUCACCUUCAAAUUUAGGCUAGUGACAAGAAUAACAAAAAUUGAGAACACAGAGAAGAAUUUCGUCGUUCUACUUAUGCUUAUCAUGGACAAGAGCAUCUAAGUCAGUCUUAUGCUUAACUCAACAAAUGUAGAGCCUCAAGCACCAUCUGCAGAGUUUCAAUUUCAACCAAGUCAUUUGGAAUUUAGCUUACAUGAUCAUCUUCUGGUGGAAACAAGGAGACCAGUUGACAUGAUUCUUCACGCUCAUCGGAAGAUUGGAAGAUGUUUGGCUACAUAUUACAUAUAUUUAUUUUAUCUAUAAUAUAUUUAUCUAUAUAUAUCAUAUUUGUUUUUUUUCUGUAUCGAUUGAGACUUAUAUACUGUCUUAUUAUCAUUUACCGGCAUAGAAAAGAGUUAUGUAGCAACUAAUCUUUCUACUAUACUAUUUAGAAAAAUCAAUGCUUGUUUUUUUACCAUUUUACCCUUAUUAAGGGUAUUUUAGUAAAUUAGUAAUUGGAGAAUGUUAUCUUAUAUAUACAGAAUUUUUUUCCCUUCUCUCUCUAAACUUCAGAAUUUUUUUCCCUUCUCUUUCUAAAACCCCCCUCUCACUAUUCAUCAUCUUCUCCAAAUCUUUCUCCCUUUUCACUCAAAAUUACCAACAUGCAAAGCUACAGUCAUGACUUAAUUGCUAUCUCAUACUUCCAGGAAGCUCCAUUUUCUGAAAUUGGUAAGUAGCUGAACUCAACCACAAGCUCACAAGUUUUGAACUGUUGCCAUCAGAUUGUUUAGAAAGUAGCAAUUAAGUUGUUGUGGGGUAUGUUUGAUGUUUUAGUGUUUGGGUUAAAAUUGAAGUCUUUAGAAGCAAUAAGCUGUCAAUUAAGUUGUUUUGCAGAAGCUUAAGUUGGAAUACAAGUUGUUGCAGGUAUGGUUGUGUAUUCUUUAUAUUACCAAUGCUAUAUUUAAGUUACCAUAUGAGUAGUUGGUGAACUAAUAAACUAUUUUGGGAGUUGACAGAAUUGCUUAAAUCAUAAUUGAGCUGUUUUAGAAAGUGAUUAUAGAGGAUUAGGGCAAGGGCAGAAGUGGAUAAAUUGUAAUUAGGCUGCUGAUUCAGAUACAAGCUAGGAAUAAGCUGUUUUUGGAAGAAGUUUGGUGAAACUCGUAUUUGGGACAGGGCUCCACUAAAACGGUAAGAACUCACUCCCUGUAACUUGGAAUCAAGUGAUUUUUGAUGCUAUGGUUAGAUAACGAAAUUCCGGACGUUUUGGUACCAGUUUCAUUGAUUUUGGUCCAGAUUUGAAGUCUGUAGACGAUUUUGAAGUUGGGGGCAGAAGUAGGAUUUUGUGCUGAACCAUGAAUAUAAAGCAAAGGAAAGAUGAGAUAGAGCAACCAACCACUUCUGCAAUUGGCGAGUAUAAACAUUUUGUCAAAGGUUCUUGCUUAGCAAAAUAAGCGUGAUAUAGCAGAUUUGCAAGUAUGAAGGCAUGAUUGGUCGAAAGCUGUAGAGAUAUGAGUGAAGGAUAUGAAAGUGUUUGCUACGUUUAAUGAAGAACUGUUCAAGGAAAUCACAUAACUAUUGACAUUGGAGAAUUUUAGGGAAAAUGAACAGUUGUCAAAGUAUGGUGAUGCUAAGUCUGUGCGGGCAGUCACGUUGGUUGAGCUUAAAAUGCACAUUGAAGCCAAUCCAUUAUUUCCUGACAAAUUGCAAUUUCCUAACCUAAAAAACUCAAUGUUAAGGACACUCAUCAAUCAAAGAAUUGUAGAUGGCCUUGCUGUUUGUGAGGCAAUUAUGACAUGAUUCUCUAUUAGACUGGUGAUAUUCUCUUGGCUGGUCUUUUUGUAUAUGACAUUUUCUGGGUUUUCUUCACUCAUGUGAUGGUUAGCGUUGCGAAAUCAUUUGAAGCUCCAAUCAAGCUUUUGUUCCCCACAGCAGAUUCUGCAAGGCUAUUUUCAAUGCUUGGACUUGGUGAUAUUGUUAUCCCAGCUGAGAGGAGGGUCGUUCCAGGUUCAGGUGGUGAAGAAUUCAAGUUUGCUUCCUUGAGGCUGUUACCCUCAGCUGUGAUCAUCGUGUUAUAAAUGGGGCGAUUGGUGCCGAAUGGUUGAAAGCAUUCAAAGGCUGUAUUGAGAAUCCAUAAACCAUGUUGUUGUAAGUAGAAGGCUCCGAUGAAGUACUCAAUUCCUUUUUUCGAGUGAUAUUGUAUGCGGGAGAUAAGAUUUGAUCACCGGGUAUUUACCCAUUUGGGUUUGGUUGAUUGUAUCCCUGACCAAUUUUUUAUUUAAGUAUUUACUCUCUUACAAUAAAUUUUGCAAAUUUGUAAUUUUUUUAAUAAGUGAGGGUAGAUAAGGCAUUGAAUUUUGAGCCCUGAAAUCAUCUUCUUAGAAGAGAAUCCGCCCUUUAUACAGGCAAACGAGGAUCUAACAUUUUCUUUGUUGGAUGGUGUGAAUAAUUGAAACACUAAUUUUAUUUUAUUGGCAUCUCA